UAGGGAAUCUUCCGCAAUGGACGCAAGUCUGACGGAGCAACGCCGCGUGAGUGAAGAAGGAUUUCGGUUCGUAAAACUCUGUUGUUAGAGAAGAACAGCGCAUAGAGUAACUGUUAUGCGUGUGACGGUAUCUAAUCAGAAAGCCACGGCUAACUACGUGCCAGCAGCCGCGGUAAUACGUAGGUGGCAAGCGUUAUCCGGAAUUAUUGGGCGUAAAGCGCGCGUAGGCGGUUUUUUAAGUCUGAUGUGAAAGCCCCCGGCUCAACCGGGGAGGGUCAUUGGAAACUGGUUGACUUGAGUGCAGAAGAGGAGAGUGGAAUUCCAUGUGUAGCGGUGAAAUGCGUAGAUAUAUGGAGGAACACCAGUGGCGAAGGCGACUCUCUGGUCUGUAACUGACGCUGAGGCUCGAAAGCGUGGGUAGCAAACAGG
rnacentral:rRNA from 1 species